rfam:Streptococcus pseudoporcinus LQ 940-04 Contig1216510750, whole genome shotgun sequence.
UAUACCUUUAAAAAGUCCAGAGAGGCUUCAAGGUUAACAUCGUAAAAGUAGGAGCGGUUUGCUCUUUAUUUUCUGUGACCUUACUCUCUGUGAGUAAGGUUUUUUUGU